GCGGGUGUAGUUCAAUGGUAGAACCUCAGCUUCCCAAGCUGAUGACACGGGUUCGAUUCCCGUCACCCGCUCCA
rnacentral:tRNA from 2 species